AAACAACAGCAGGUGGGUGAAUGAUUGGCUACCAACAGUUCCAUAUACUUCAUCAGCUUUGUGAUAUAUUUUGGGGUUCCCUUUUCUAAGAGCUCCCUUUUCCCACACAUGGAUGCUGACCAUGGUGAACUGCCAAUCACUACUGGAGACGGAACUACUGCUGUCACAGCCCGCUUUAUCAUGGAUGUUAACAAAAGGGCCACCAUCACUAGAGGCUGGAGUGACUUCUUCCGUCAGGCGCACAUGGAGAAAGGUCAAGCAUAUGCUUUCGACUUCAAAUGCACUUCCAAGGGACUGCGCCUGAUCGUCUACUCAAUAUAAGAAAGUUGCAAGAGCCCCUUGUUAUAUAACUUAGCAUUAGUAUAGAUGCCUACUAAGACUUCUAUGUUUGUCAUUUGUCUAUUGCAUGUUCUCUGCUCAUUGCAGGUAUGCAAGCUCUGUCUUUUGAAACUCUUGGUGUAAAGAAAAAUAUUGUUGUUUGCCCUAUCAAGAAUAUUAGCUCGAAUAAGUCCAGAUGUAUGCCAACUGAAAAGGCUAUUAUGCGUUUAUUUUCA